CUCAACCUCGAAACUGCUCGCCGAACUAUCAGACUAGAGCAUGGGAGAGGACAGUGGAAUUCCCAGUGUAGCGGUGGAAUGCGUAAAUAUUGGGAGGAACACCAGUGGCGAAGGCUGCUGUCUGGAACAUUGCUGACGCUGAGGUGCGAAAGCCAGGGGAGCAAACGGGAUUAGAUACCCCGGUAGUCCUGGCUGUAAACGAUGCUCACUAGGUGUUACCGGCAUUAACCCCGGUAGUGCUGUUCUGCUAACGCGUUAAGUGAGCCGCCUGGGGAGUACGGCCGCAAGGCUGAAACUCAAAGGAAUUGACGGGGGCCCGCACAAGCGGUGGAGCAUGUGGGUCAAUUGGAUGCUACGCCAAGAACCUUACCAGGGCUUGACAUGUUGGGGCCCGCCUGAGAGAUCAGGCUUUCUCCGCAAGGAGACCC
rnacentral:rRNA from 1 species